rnacentral:rRNA from 1 species
UACGGGGGGGGCAAGCGUUGUUCGGAAUUACUGGGCGUAAAGGGCUCGUAGGCGGCCAACUAAGUCAGACGUGAAAUCCCCAGGCUCAACCUGGGAACUGCGUCUGAUACUGGAUGGCUUGAAUUCGGGAGAGGGAUGCAGAAUUCCAGGUGUAGCGGUGAAAUGCGUAGAUAUCCGGAGGAACACCGGUGGCGAAGGCGGCUUCCUGGACCGAUUACUGACGCUGAGACGCGAAAGCGUGGGGAGCAAACAGG